ensembl:rRNA 5S_rRNA 5S ribosomal RNA
GUCUAUAACCAUACCACCCUGAACAUGUCCAAUCUUGUCUGAUCUCAGAAGCUAAGCACGGUUGGGUCUGGUUAGUACUUGGAUGGGAGAAACCUGGUACCUGUUGGCA